UAAUCAAGGCAGCAGGG
rnacentral:piRNA from 1 species